AGCUUUGUGCAGUGGCAAUAUCGUAGCCAAUGAGGUGUAACUGAGGCGCGAUUAUUGCUAAUUGAAAACUUUUCCCAAAAGAUUUUGCCUUAAAACAAAUUUUAGAAAGGCACUCUUGAC
rnacentral:snRNA from 1 species